rnacentral:lncRNA from 1 species
ACAAAAGCCAUCUAGGUCCACGUUUAAGACGUUACACAAGUGUCUUGAUUUUCAAAAGCUUCUCUUCUUGUCCCUUCUUGCUCUAGUUCUAUUGACAUUUAUGCAAAUGUGUCAAAAGAACCUCUGAAAAGUUUAAUCCAAUAUAAUACCAUUCAGACACCAAGAGAGCUCAGCAAAUUGUUGCCAGAAGAGAGGUUUAAAACAUUUUGGGUGUUAUGGAAUAUUUAUUGCUUAAAGAAAAAUAACUCUGAAGUUAGUAAGUCAAAUAAACAUUUCUGGAAAUAUAAAGGCUACAUUUUGAGUGCAAGGCAUCUGAGCAGAGCCGUGUAAUUUCUUUUAGUCCUCACUCCACCUUCACAGAUUUGUCUUCCUGUAAGUGAUUAUAAAAUGAUGGACAUACUGCAGGAUCACCCUCCAACACAGACUCUUUCCUGUGGCUCUUCAGGGCAGGUGGGGAUAAGGACUGGGGAGAGAGGCUGCAGAAAAAAGCACAGGUUGGUGGAUCUCUGUGGGCACUCCUACCCAAAGGCACUGGCUUCCAAACCUGGACAUCUCCAUUACAAACCAACAUCAAGAGUCAGGUGGAAUGAAUCUGGGCCCCAAUAUCUCCCCUUUGUAGUAAGAUAUGCUUACAGUGUUCUCACCAUCUUCAGUAUUAGGUUAGCAAUAUAAGGGUUUAGAGUGAACUUCCUGGAGUCUCCAUGCUCUUCUCAUCUGGAUAGCAGAUGAAUAAUGACUCAAAAAAAAGAGUGGCCAUAGUAGACUAUAAAAGCCACAGUGCUUAAAAAAUGCCUUGCUGACUUUAAUCGAUCUAGCUAGGUAGGAAGAGUAGUGAGCAGGAUAACCAUUUUACAGGAGGAGAUACUGAAUUAUCAUGUAUGAUUUCUGCUGUUUGAAAACUGCUUCUGAAGGCACUACAGCAUCUGUUCAUUACUCAUUAUGGUUAAAAAGAAAACACCUGCCUUUCCAUUAACUGGGAUGGCGGUUUGGUUGGAUGCUCCACCUGUAAGAAUGAUGUCAACAAGCUUGUACCUGACCAUUGUAUUUGAAGUAUUGGCUAAGAGUUUUAUGUGGACAUCUCAUAGCUGCUAUUGCCUCUGUUAUUGACGUCAGUUUCCACGUGAUGUGUGCAUUUUUUUACCAUGGAUUAAUUAGGAAUAUUUACUGGUUUGCACCUAUCAUAGCAGCAGCCAACCCUGUACAGGCAAAUAAAAAUGUUCUGAGCGUCUGAAUAAGAACUGAG